rnacentral:lncRNA from 1 species
CUCCAGUGGGCGUCUUGGGCCCCGGCUCUAUUCUGGGCUGCGGGCCUGGGAAGGGCUCGCCGGGUGCCAAAUGAGCUGUCCUAACUCUGCGGGGCUGCAGCUUCCUGCAUGAUGCUGGGGAGCUUGGCGCCUGACCCAGGAUCUAGAAGGCACUCUGGGCAGGCCGCGCUCCGCCCACGAAGGUACCCAACCCUCUGGGAUAGAUGCAGGAAGCGAUGGUUAAGACCCAUUUUCACCCAACUUCUCGCCGCAGGUUUAACCACCAAGGACUCUGAGAGCUGGCAGGUCUGAGUAACCCUGGUAACAAUUCUCUUCACCUUAUCAAAACCUGAGCUAAAACCAAUGCAUCAGCUGAUGAUGACAGCAGAGAGUGGCAGGGCUGAGGACCCAAAGUCAUUUCCCAGGCUGGCGGAGAGUGAGUAAAUGAGAUUCUAAAACUAAACAAGGGAGGUCAGAGACUCUUUCCAA